rnacentral:rRNA from 1 species
CAAAGCACUUUGAAGAGAGAGUUAAAGAGGACGUGAAACCGGUUGGGUGGAAACGGAUAGAGCCGGCGAAGUCGCUCGUAUUUAGCCAAAGGCCCAGGGCUUUCCGCUGCUGCGUUGCUAAUUCACGCGUGGUGGUAGGUCUGCUCGGGGCUGAGGUGCACUUGCGGGCGUUUGCGCUGAGACUUGCGUGGCAGCUGUUGGACCCUUGCUUAGAGGCUUCCCUUUGGGUUGAACCUGGGCCUGGUUACAACUGUUUGCUCUGCUCGUACGGAUCUGGCCUACGGACUCGGGUUACGCCGUUGUCUUCACGACGUGGCAUCGCAUGCGAUGUCUAGCGUGCGGGCAGCGGUUUGGCUUGUGGUCCACGGAUCUUUUCUCGGUGUAGAAGCUGGUCAUCUCUCCGACCCGUCUUGAAACACGGACCAAGGAGUUUAGCGUAUGCGCGAGUCAUUGGGUGUCAAAACCCAAAGGCGCAAUGAAAGUAAAGGCCUGGUCGCCGGGCUGACAUGCGAUUGCCGCGUCUUCGGACUAGGCACGCAGCAUGGUCCCGUUGUGGUCGCUUGCGACGCAGCGGAGACAGAGCGUAUGCGCUGAGACCCGAAAGAUGGUGAACUAUUCCUGAGCAGGACGAAGCCAGAGGAAACUCUGGUGGAAGUCCGAAGCGAUUCUGACGUGCAAAUCGAUCGUCUGACUUGGGUAUAGGGGCCAAAGACUCCUCCUCUCAUC